UACCUGGUGAAACUGGACUUCCAGGACAAGCGCUUCGUGGUUCCUGUGGAGCAGUUUUCCAGUUUUUCGUAGUUCUCCAUUGUUCCUGCGCUUCAGGUCCACUACCUGGUGUAACUCGACUUCCAGGACACGCGCUCCGUGGUUCCUGCGCUCCAAGUCCGCUAUCUGGUACAACUCGACUUCAGGGACAAGCGCUCAGUAGUUUUCGCGCGCCGGGUCCACUACCUGGUGAAACUCGAUUUCUAGAACAAGCGCUCCCUAGUUCUGACUGUCCAGGUCCUUGACCUGGUGACUACUGACCUUCAGGACUAAUUUUCAAGUUUACAAGUUUGAUUAUUGCAAACGUCAUGUUUUGUACCAUCAAACCAAUAUGCGUGCUUCGGAUACAAUUUUGAAUCGGGAUAAUAACCGUACGACCACGAUCAACAAAUUGCAAUUGCAAUUUGGCAUUCAUCCUUACACAAUAUUUUUGAUGUGUUUUAAUACUGGAAAUAUUGAUUAGUAUUCGAGGAUAACCCGAGGUGGUUAGUGGUGGUCGUUGGAUGUGUUUGGAAAUGGUCGGAGGUGGUCGGAGGGGGUUGGGGCUGGUUGCGGGUGAUCGAGAUAGAUGAGGAGGUGACCGAGGAGCAGGACGGGGAAGAUGAGAAGAACAAGGUGGACGAGGAUGACGAGGAUUUGUGCACUGUAUAACUCGAGGUGGUUAGCGGUGGUCGUUGGAAGUGAAUUGGUAGUGGUCGGACGUGGACGAAGAUUUGUGCUCGUUCUGUGCCCCACCUACUGAUCCACU